rnacentral:lncRNA from 1 species
CAAAGCCUCUGCCUCAGUCUCCUCUUCUGGAAAGUGGGAUUGGAAACCACAUCUGCUUCUCUCCCAGGACUGCUAGGAAGACAAGAUUAGAUGGCAGGUCUGUUUUUCCCCUGGAUUGUAUACUCCUUGAUGUCUGGGUCAUUUCAGCUAGUGAGCUGAGCUUUCAGUGGGUGCUUAGUGGAACAGGUGCUGAAUGGAGUCAGGCUCUAGGGAGGCCAGCGUGUGUUGAUAGCCUUCACUCUUCUCUGCAACAAAUUCCAAAAGUAUAUAGUUGAGCUGACUGCAAGGUACUUGACAUGCAAGAGACUCCACAAAUGGGAUUCGGCCUCUGGAAAGUGGUGGUAGUUCCAGAUUUAUGUGGAUGUUACUUUGUUUUUCCGUAUAAAAUAUAUUAUUUAAACUAUCAAA